rnacentral:rRNA from 1 species
UACGUAGGGUGCAAGCGUUGUCCGGAAUUAUUGGGCGUAAAGGGCUCGUAGGCGGUCCAUCGCGUCGGGAGUGAAAAGCUGGGGCUUAACCCCAGUCCUGCUUCCGAUACGGGUGGACUAGAGGUAGGUAGGGGAGAACGGAAUUCCUGGUGUAGCGGUGAAAUGCGCAGAUAGCAGGAGGAACACCGGUGGCGGAGGCGGUGCUCUGGGCCUUACCUGACGCUGAGGAGCGAAAGCAUGGGGAGCAAACAGG